rnacentral:rRNA from 1 species
GGNUNUGAGAGGAGAAGCCCGGAGAUGGGUANUGAGACAAGGACCCAGGCCCUAUGGGCGCAGCAGGCGAGAAAACUUUGCAAUGUGCGAAAGCACGACAANGGUUAAUCCGAGUGAUUUCUGCUAAAGGAAUCUUUUGUUAGUUCUAAAUAUACUAGUGAAUAAGGGGUGGGCAAGUUCUGGUGUCAGCCGCCGCGGUAAAACCAGCACCUCAAGUGGUCAGGAGGAUUAUUGGGCCUAAAGCAUCCGUAGCCUGUUCUAUAAGUUUGCGGUUAAAUCUAUGCGCUCAACGUAUAGGCUGCCGUAAAUACUGUAGAACUAGGGAGUGGGAGAGGUAGACGGUACUCGAUAGGAAGGGGUAAAAUCCUUUGAUCUAUUGAUGACCACCUGUGGCGAAGGCGGUCUACCAGAACACGUUCGACGGUGAGGGAUGAAAGCUGGGGGAGCAAACCGGAUUAGAUACCCGGGUAGUCCCAGCUGUAAACGAUGCAGACUCGAUGAUGCAAUGGCAUAGAGCUAUUGCAGUAUCGCAGGGAAGCCGUUAAGUCUGCCGCCUGGGAAGUACGUACGCAAGUAUGAAACUUAAAGGAAUUGGCGGGGGAGCACCACAAGGGGUGAAGCCUGCGGUUCAAUUGGAGUCAACGCCGGAAAUCUUACCCGGAGAGACAGCAGAAUGAAGGUCAGGCUGAAGACCUUACCAGACAAGCUGAGAGGUGGUGCAUGGCCGUCGUCAGCUCGUGCCGUGAGAUGUCCUGUUAAGUCAGGUAACGAGCGAGAUCCCUGCCACUAGUUGCUAUUAUUACUCUCAGGAGUAGUGGGGCGAAUUAGUGGGACCGCCACAGUUAAUGUGGAGGAAGGAAGGGGCCACGGCAGGUCAGUAUGCCCCGAAACUCUGGGGCCACACGCGGGCUGCAAUGGUAGUGACAAUAGGCUCCUAACUCGAAAGAGAGAGGCAAUCCAAAAACACUACCACAGUUAUGGCUGAGGGCUGUAACUCGCCCUCACGAAUAUGGAAUCCCUAGUAACUGCGUGUCAUUACCGCGCGGUGAAUACGUCCCUGCUCCUUGCACACACCGCCCGUCGUUUCAUCGAAGUUUGCUUUUAGUGAGGUGAUGUUUUAUUGGCAUUAUCGAACU